rnacentral:rRNA from 1 species
CCUACGGGUGGCAGCAGUGAGGAAUAUUGGUCAAUGGACGCAAGGCUGAACCAGCCAAGCCGCGUGCAGGAAGACGGCUCUAUGAGUUGUAAACCGCUUUUGUACGAGGGUAAACGCAGAUACGCGUAUCUGUCUGAAAGUAUCGUACGAAUAAGGAUCGGCUAACUCCGUGCCAGCAGCCGCGGUAAUACGGAGGAUUCAAGCGUUAUCCGGAUUUAUUGGGUUUAAAGGGUGCGUAGGCGGUAGGAUAAGUUAGAGGUGAAAUCCCGAGGCUCAACUUCGGUAGUGCCUCUGAUACUGUUUGGCUAGAGAGUAGUAGAGGUAGGCGGAAUGCAUGGUGUAGCGGUGAAAUGCUUAGAGAUCAUGCAGAACACCGAUUGCGAAGGCAGCUUACCGGGCUACUUCUGACGUUGAGGCACGAAAGCGUGGGGAGCAAACAGGAUUAGAUACCCGUGUAGUC